rnacentral:RNase_P_RNA from 1 species
AUCUCACAGGGUAAGGGUGAAAAGGUGCGGUAAGAGCGCACCAGUUCCUCGGGUGACCGAGGAAGCUAGGUAAACCCCACCCGGAGCAAGACCAAAUAGGGAAGCAUUUGAGGACGGCCCGUCCGAGCUUCCGGGUUGGUCGCAAGAGGUAUUGGGCAACCAAUACCCUGAGAUGAAUGAUCGUUGUUCCGUAAAGGGUGACCGAUACGGAAAACAGAACUCGGCUUAUGGCCUGCUCUGACAU